UCAAGGAAGCCUUGAUACCCUCACCCUUACUACACUGUAUCCUCCAUUUGAAUGUUGUCAAGAGCUCUUCUCACAAUUGUAAAUAAUAAUUGUGUAAUUUUGUUUUUUUUUUCCUACUUUAGGUUGCUCCUUGAGGGCAGGACAGUUCUUAUGGCUUUAUCCGUUGCGUAAGCACAGAGAGGUCUGCGAGGUCAAAACUAUUGUCAUGAUAGCAAGAUGCCUGUCUUUUUCAUUUAUUCUCACGGUGUGCAGAGGCUACAUGAUGUGUGAUGACAUCCUCAUUGAUGUUAAUGAAUGGUGCUAUACUUGAAUUUUCUAAGGUGUCAUUAGCAAUUCUCCUGCCUCAGCCUCCUGCAUAACUGGGACUACAGGGAAGCACCAUUUUCCACAAAACUCUCAAGAAGGACUUGUUGCAACUGGAAAAGCAAUUAAAUGUGAAUCGUGAUCCAGGAGAAAGUAACAACUCACAUAACUCCC
rnacentral:lncRNA from 1 species